rnacentral:lncRNA from 1 species
AGAAAUAACCAUCGGUAGUCUUGACAUCAACAUGAGCUUCAGUCAUUGUUGAACAUUUUUCAACCAUGGAACAUAUUUUGUCACAGGAUCAACCACCAUGAUGAAUGACACAGUAACUAUCUGGACCAGGAAGUUCAUGACCAAUGGACCACUCCAGAGGAAACAAAUGGUCACCAAUGUCCUUCACCCCGGAAAGGCAACAAAAUGUACAAGACCACAAUGGAUGUCAUCUUCAUAUUAAUAGUUGGACUUAGAACCCGUUUUGGUGGUGGUUAAACAAUGGUCUUUGGCAUGCUAUCUGGUUCUUUGAAUUAUGCAAAGAAAAAUGAACUCAAACAUAGACUUGCAAGACACGGCUGGCAUGAGAAGAAGAUGACCUCAAGAAAACAGCAAAAGGAAUGCAAGGGCAGAAUGAAGUCAAGAGACUGCAAAGGCCAAUGUCAGUGCUGGCAAAAAGCAAAAGGAGUAAAGAUUUUGCAAUGACUUUAUUUGCAGUGACUGUACAAAUUUUUCAUGAGAUGAUCACUCAACUGUAAGGACUUCUACAUAUAUAUAA